CGGCUUCGCCAUUCGGCCUCAAAAUCUUACUGAAACUAUAUC
rnacentral:rRNA from 1 species